UUGAAUAGGCAUAAUUAGUACUCGUAGGCGAACCAAACGAGCCCCAUCAAUUAAACCUCAUUUGUUUCCAAUUAAACAGUAUAAAUAAUAUAGCAGUCGAUUAAUUUUGAAUAAACCCUCAGAGAACUGUGAAUGAUAAACUAGAGCGAAUAUAUACCAAAUGGUCUCUUUCUUGAAAUCAUUCGAUGAUAGCUUACCGCAAAAUCAUCCGGAGUUAGCAAUCACCAACGAUUUGUUGCUUUCUGGAACUAAGAUUUACUUGGAGAGGUCGAAUUCAAAUGAUUCGGCGUUGAAUCGAGGGAGGAGAUGGCAGGUUAAUUUUAACAUCAAGCGGCACAUUGUUCUUGGGCGUGUUUGCUGAACAAACUAGCUACUUAACGAAGGAAAAUGGUGUUUUUACUUAAAUCACAUUGAGGAAUAGCACAGUUCUUUGACACUCCUUGUGAAGAUGCUCAAGAACAACUUAGACAGGUCCAAAUUUUAAUAGUUUGUAUGAUUGUCAUUUUGAUUUUCGAGAUUACUUUAUUACAUUAGAGAAUUGCACAAUCCUUUAAUCGGUGUACGUCCCAAUAAAGUUUGAUGUGCUUUUAAA